GCCCGGCUAGCUCAGUUGGUAGAGCACAAAGCUCUUAACCCUGUGGUCGUGGGUUCAAGCCCCACGGUGGGCU